rnacentral:rRNA from 1 species
GUUAUAUGGUCAAGUGACUAAGCGUGCACGGUGGAUGCCUUGGCAUCUGGAGGCGAUGAAAGACGUAGUAGCCUGCGAUAAGCUUCGGUGAGGUGGCAAACAACCUUUGACCCGGAGAUCUCUGAAUGGGGAAACCCACCUGUCAUCAGGCAGGUAUCCUUAACUGAAUACAUAGGUUAAGGAGGCGAACCGGGAGAACUGAAACAUCUAAGUACCCCGAGGAAAAGAAAUCAACCGAGAUUCCCUUAGUAGCGGCGAGCGAACGGGGACCAGCCCUUAAGCUGUUUUGUGAUUAGUAGAACGCUCUGGAAAGUGCGGCCAUAGUGGGUGAUAGCCCCGUAUACGAAAAUCUAUUUACAGUGAAAUCGAGUAGGUCGGGACACGUGUUAUCCUGACUGAACAUGGGGGGACCAUCCUCCAAGGCUAAAUACUCCCAGAUGACCGAUAGUGAACCAGUACCGUGAGGGAAAGGCGAAAAGAACCCCUGUGAGGGGAGUGAAAUAGAUCCUGAAACCGUGUACGUACAAGCAGUGGGAGCCGAUUUAUUCGGUGACUGCGUACCUUUUGUAUAAUGGGUCAGCGACUUAAUGUAUGUGGCAAGGUUAAGCAAAUUGCGGAGCCGUAGGGAAACCGAGUGUUAACUGCGCGUCCAGUCGCAUGCAUUAGACCCGAAACCGGGCGAUCUAUCCAUGAGCAGGUUGAAGGUUGAGUAACAUCAACUGGAGGACCGAACCCACUGUCGUUGAAAAGCCAGGGGAUGACUUGUGGAUAGGAGUGAAAGGCUAAUCAAGCCCGGAGAUAGCUGGUUCUCCUCGAAAACUAUUUAGGUAGUGCCUCGUGUCUAACCAUGGGGGGUAGAGCACUGUUAAGGCUAGGGGGUCAUCCCGACUUACCAACCCUUUGCAAACUCCGAAUACCCAUGAGUUCAAUCACGGGAGACACACGGCGGGUGCUAACGUCCGUCGUGGAAAGGGAAACAACCCAGACCGUCAGCUAAGGUCCCAAAGUUACAGUUAAGUGGGAAACGAUGUGGGAAGGCUAAAACAGCUAGGAGGUUGGCUUAGAAGCAGCCACCCUUUAAAGAAAGCGUAAUAGCUCACUAGUCGAGUCGGCCUGCGCGGAAGAUAUAACGGGGCUCAAACUGUACACCGAAGCUACGGAUGCACUUAGUGCAUGGUAGAGGAGCGUUCUGUAAGCCGUUGAAGGUCAAGGUGUGAACCAGGCUGGAGGUAUCAGAAGUGCGAAUGCUGACAUGAGUAACGAUAAAGGGAGUGAAAAACUCCCUCGCCGGAAACCCAAGGGUUCCUGUCCAACGUUAAUCGGGGCAGGGUUAGUCGGCCCCUAAGGCGAGGCUGAAAAGCGUAGUCGAUGGGAAACAGGUUAAUAUUCCUGUACUUGUUUGUAGUGCGAUGGGGAGACGGAGAAGGCUAGGCCAGC